rnacentral:rRNA from 1 species
ACGAAGGGGGCUAGCGUUGUUCGGAAUUACUGGGCGUAAAGCGAGCGUAGGCGGAUUGUUAAGUCGGGGGUGAAAUCCCGGGGCUCAACCCCGGAACUGCCUUCGAUACUGGCAAUCUGGAGCAUGGGAGAGGUGAGCGGAAUUCCGAGUGUAGAGGUGAAAUUCGUAGAUAUUCGGAGGAACACCAGUGGCGAAGGCGGCUCACUGGACCAUUGCUGACGCUGAGGCUCGAAAGCGUGGGGAGCAAACAGG